CCUGGUUGGUGCUGCCAGUAGAAUAUGCUUUUCUCAAAGCUUAAGCCAUACAUGUGUAAGUACACACAGCUGGUACAGUGAAACUGUCAAUAGCUCAUUAAAUAAGUUAUGCUUCCAUUGAUCACUCCAUCUUUUACUUGGAUAACUGUGGUAAUUCUAGAGCUCAUACAUGCUGAAAAGCGCUGACCUCUCGGCAUGCAUGCAUUUAUCAGACCAAAACCAAAACAGCUCGCCCGGCUGUUUUGGUGACUCUAGAUAACCUCGGGCUGAUCGCACAUCCCUGAGACAUUGACGAUACAUUCCGAUGACUGCCCUAUCAACUUUCAAUGGUACUUUCUGUGCCUACCAUGGUGACCACGGGUAACGGGGAAUCAGGAUUCCAUUCCGGAGAGGGAGCCUGAGAAAUGACUACCACAACCAAGAAAGGCAGCAGGCGGGCAAAUUACACUCACGGCGAGGUAGUGAUGAAAAAUAACAUUACAGGACUCUUGAGGCCCUGUAAUUGGAAUGGGUACACUUUAAAUCAUUCAACGAGGAUCCAUUGGAGGGCAAGUCUGGUGCCAGCAGCCGCAGUAAUUCCAGCUCCAAUAGUGUAUAUUAAAGUUGCUGCAAUUAAAAAGCUUGUAGUUGGAUCUUGGGAUCGAGCUGGCAGUCCGCCGUGAGGCAAGCUACUGCCUGUCCCAGCAUCUGCCCCACCUUGUUGUUCUUGACUAAGUGUCCUGGAGGUCCGAAGCAAUUACUUCGAAAAAAUUAGAGUGUUCAAAGCAUGCCAAUCGCCUGAAUACUUACACUAGAAAUAAUGGAAUAGGACACCAUUUAUUUUUGUUGGAUUUUGGAACUGCGGCCGUGAUUAAGAGAAACGGACAGGGGCAUUCGUAUUGUGCCACUGGAGGUGAAAUUCUUGGAACAGCGCAAGACGAACCAAAGCAAAAGCAUUUGCCAAAUAUGAAUUAAUCAAGAACGAAAGUCGGAGGUUCGAAGACGAUCAGAUACAGUCGUAGUUCUGACCAUAAAUGAUGCCGACUAGCGAUCUAGUGACCUUAUUCCCAUGACCCACGAAGCAGCUUCCAGGAAACAAAAGUAUUUGGGUUGCGGGGGAGUAUGGUUUCAAAGCUGAAACUUAAAUGAUUUGACAGAAGGGCACCAGUAGGAGUGGAGCCUGCAUCUUAAUUUGACUCAACAUGGGAAAUCUCAUCCGACACGGAAAGGAUUGACCGAUUGAUAACUCUUUCUCGAUUCUGUGGGUGGUGGUGCAUGGCCGUUCUUAGUUGGUGAAGCGAUUUGUCUGGCAUAUUCCGAUAACUAACGAGACUCCUCCAUGCCAACUAGUUACAUGACCCCCAGCAGUCGGCGUUCAACUUCUUAGAGGGACAAGUGGCGUUCAGCCACACGAGAUAGAGCAAUAACAGGUUUAUGAUGCCCUUAGAUGUCCGGGGCUGUACACACACACUACACUGAACAGAUCAACGUGUGUCUAGCCUUCACAGAUAGAUGCAGCUAACCGGCUCGCUGAACCCAGUUUGUGAUAGGGAUUGCAAUUAUUUCCUAUAAAGGAGUAAUUCCCAGUAAGUGAGGGUCAUUUGCUUGCAUCGAUUAAAUCCAUGCCCUUUGUUCAUACCACCGUUGCCAAUACCAAUUGGAUAGGUUAGUGAGGUCCUCGGAUCAACCCCGCUGGGGUCGACAACAACCCUUGUGGAGCGCCGAAAAAGACUAUCAAACUUGACUAUCUAGAGGAAGUAAAAGUCGUAACAAGGUUUCCUUAGCUGAACCUGCGGAAG
rnacentral:rRNA from 1 species